AUGGCCUGUGUUGCCCUUUGGUCCCCAGGACAGGUUCAUUUGUAUUUAUACUGCUUAUUUAAAUAACAAGAAGACCAUCACAAAAGGAAGGCAGAUACCCAUAAGUAAGGCUGUUGAAAACCCAACAGCUACAGAGAUUCAAGAUGUAUGUUUAGCAGUUGUACUGAAUGCAUUUCUUGAGAAAAAUAAAAUGUACUCCAGAGAAUGGGAUCGUAUUGUCCAAUACAGAGGCAGAGUCCGGGUUCAGCUCAAACAGGAAGAUGGCAGCCUCUGUCUUGUACAGUUCCCAUGACGUAAGUCAGUAAUGUUGUAUGCAGCAGAAAUGAUACCUAAACUAAAAAGAAGGACACAAAAAACAGGAGGUGGUAACCAAAGUGUUCAGCAAGGAGAGGGAAGUAAAAAAGGGAAAGGAAAGAAGACGUGACCUAGCAUGAGCGUCAUUUGUGUGAUACUGCAAGAGACAUGAAUGGAGGCUUCUCAUUAGUCUCUGAGAGAAACAGAGGCUUUUUGCUUGCAUUAUUUUACUAAACUAUGCAUAUUUGUGCCUCUCAUCAUCACCAGAGUUGACAAAUAAAUUUACAUCAGAACUUUCCAUCUAGCUUUUAUGCAGUAAAAAAGACUUUUUUUCUUUCAAUGCAAGUGUUUGUGG